UAGUUUAUAAACAAUUGGAUUAUAAUUAUGUCAUUAAUAUGAAAUUAUUAUUAUGUCCUUAACAGGAAAAAUUUUAGAAUACAACGGGUAUAUUAGUGACGUGGCGUAACAAACCAAUCAAAUUAAUCCUUUUAAAAAUAUAUGACCUAUCAUGAUUGUAAAAAAGUAUUUUUAUUAUACUUUUGUUUGAAAGAAGAAAUGUGAUUGACUUGUUAUUGAUAACGUGGUGCAAGUGUGAUAGUGUAAAAUUCCUCCCUUCACA
rnacentral:lncRNA from 1 species